AGGAUGAACGCUGGCGGAGUGCCUAACACAUGCAAGUCGAGCGGCAGCGGGAGUAGUUUACUACUUGCCGGCGAGCGGCGGACGGCUGAGUAACGCGUGGGAACAUGCCCCAAAGUGAGGAAUAACUGCCCGAAAGGGUAGCUAAUGCCGCAUAUGAUCUUCGGAUUAAAGGAUUUAUCCGCUUUGGGAGUGGCCCGCGUUAGAUUAGGUAGUUGGUGAGGUAAAGGCUCACCAAGCCGACGAUCUAUAGCUGGUCUGAGAGGAUGACCAGCCAGACUGGAACUGAGACACGGUCCAGACUCCUACGGGAGGCAGCAGUGAGGAAUCUUCCACAAUGGGGGAAACCCUGAUGGAGCAACGUCCGCGUGCAGGAUGAAGGCCUUCGGGUCGUAAACUGCUUUUAUUUGUGAAGAAUAUGACGGUAACAAAUGAAUAAGGGUCGGCUAACUACGCGCCAGCAGCCGCGGUAA
rnacentral:rRNA from 1 species